rnacentral:rRNA from 1 species
UACGUAGGGUGCAAGCGUUAAUCGGAAUUACUGGGCGUAAAGCGUGCGCAGGCGGUUAUGCAAGACAGAUGUGAAAUCCCCGGGCUCAACCUGGGAACGUGCAUUUGUGACUGCAUGGCUAGGGUACGGUAGAGGGGGAGUGGAAUUCCACGUGUAGCAGUGAAAUGCGUAGAUAUGUGGAGGAACACCGAUGGCGAAGGCAGCCCCCUGGGCGAUACUGACGCUCAUGCACGAAAGCGUGGGGAGCAAACAGGAUUAGAAA